rnacentral:rRNA from 1 species
GCCCUUGGGUUGCCCCAUUCAGUUGGGCACUCUAGUGGGACUGCCGGUGAUAAGCCGGAGGAAGGUGGGGAUGACGUCAAGUCAUCAUGGCCCUUACGGGCUGGGCUACACACGUGCUACAAUGGCGGUGACAAUGCGCAGCCACCCAGCGAUGGGGAGCUAAUCGCAAAAAGCCGUCUCAGUUCGGAUUGGUCUCUGCAACCCGAGACCAUGAAGCUGGAAUCGCUAGUAAUCGCGCAUCAGCAUGGCGCGGUGAAUACGUUCCCGGGCCUUGUACACACCGCCCGUCACACCAUGGGAGUUGGUUUUACCCGAAGGCGAUGCGCCAACCGCAAGGAGGCAGUCGACCACGGUAAGGUCAGCGA